GGUGUCAUUUAGAUGAGCCUGCGCCAAAAUGUUGCUACGUUUAUCCAUGGAGCGUUCCACAGAGGAGUCUGGAAUCCAUUGGACCUUUUGACGGCAAAUAAGGCUUCAGUGACUCAUCAACUCCAGAGCCGUCCUGCAUCAAUAAGAGCGUUUCAUCAACGCUGAGGCUUUGGAGGAUGAAGAACAUGCAAGUCAUCUCACAGGACACUAAAAUGAAAAGGUUCCACACACUUUGGGAAUCUGCCAUAUUGUCAUGGCUGAGGGCGUAAAAGGGUCAUCAGAACCAGGUCUGCAGGAGGCGGAGCUUCAGAAUUCCUUGCUGGAAACAUGGCGUCUGUCCAAGUAAAUGAGAAGUGGUCCUGAAGCACAGAACAAAGAGGUAACUGUGAAAACACUGUCCAGUUCAGAUGGAGGCUUUGGAGGUGCAGCUCUGUUACUGACAGAUGAGUUUUG